rnacentral:rRNA from 1 species
UACAGAGGUCUCAAGCGUUGUUCGGAUUCAUUGGGCGUAAAGGGUGCGUAGGUGGCGCCGUAAGUCAGGCGUGAAAUCUCGGGGCUUAACUCCGAAACUGCAUUUGAUACUGCGGUGCUUGAGGACUGGAGAGGAGACUGGAAUUUACGGUGUAGCGGUGAAAUGCGUAGAUAUCGUAAGGAAGACCAGUGGCGAAGGCGGGUCUCUGGACAGUUCCUGACGCUGAGGCGCGAAGGCCAGGGGAGCAAACGGG